AGUGGAAUAGCUAGAUAGUAUGGUAUGUUUAUUUUUGAGGAAGCUCCAUACUGUUUUCCAUAAAGACUGUACUCAUUUACAUUUCCAUCAGCAGU
rnacentral:pre_miRNA from 1 species